CACAAUUCAAAAUGGCCGAAGUGUAAACAAAGGAUGAAUUGAGAAAAAUAUUUGAAACAAGAAGGCAUAGAGAAAUCAGGCAAAGGCCAUUCUCUAAGGAAUCAGAGUCUAGUGAGGAGGAGGAUAAUAAUGAUGAAAAACUUGAGGAAAAAGAGGGAUGGAAGUUAUUGAGGAAGGCCAUAGAAUCCAAAAGUCUAAGAACACAAUUAGAUACUCCAUAUUCCGAAGGGUAACCAUUUCAAAACUGUAAUCAUCACCUACUUUAAUUUGUUACUGCUUCAUUCUCAGUUGGCACCAGCAGUUAAAUCUCCGUUAGGAGUGAGGUUAUGAGAAGUAGCAAAAUGAUUUAAACCAAACUCUGUUGAAAAGCCACUAACAAAUUGUCUUAGGAGUUGAAAAUCUAACCAUUGUUUGUAAAAGUGAUGACUAGCGGCCACAAGCCAUAGAACUCAGAAACUAAUAAAAAAAGUUAGGAGUUAAGAUAUUGUGUUUAUAAGAAUGGGGAGGGGGUUGCUAUUCAAUGUAUGGAGACAUUUUUCUCACAAGCUGUCAAAUUAAAAAGUAGAGUAUUAGUAGUAAAAUGGUUUGAGUGCUGGACUGGCUAUAUCAUAUCCACGGUUCUGGGAUUUUAACUACUAUAAAUGCCAAUAGUUGGUGCAACACCAAAAUGUAAGAAAUGCACCAAAGAAGUGCUCCAACUAUUUCCACUUUUAAGAUGGGUGUCUUCAAAUGUUCAACCACAUGUAAUUCCUAACAAAUAAUAAUUGGCCUUUUCUUUUCGGUGUCAACUAAUAAUAAUUCUUGGCAGUCUGAUUUGUAGAGGGACUGACUCUUUUUGACUUUACAUGACUCAUUGUGAUUUUCCUAUUAAUUGUACUUUGUAUCUGAUUAUAAAGAAUAAAGAGUUUUAAAAAAGAAA